GAGCUUGCUCUUAUGGAUGAGUUGCGAACGGGUCCCCUUCACGUGGGGAACCUACCUUCUAGCGGGGGAUAACACAUCCAUAUGUGUGCUAAUACCGCAUAAUAGUAUUUGAUGCAUAUCAGAUACUUGAAAGGCGCAAUUGCGUCACUAGAAGAUGGCCCCGCGGUGCAUUAGCUAGUUGGUGAGGUAACGGCUCACCAAGGCAAUGAUGCAUAGCCGACCUGAGAGGGUGAUCGGCCACACUGGGACUGAGACACGGCCCAGACUCCUACGGGAGGCAGCAGUAGGGAAUCUUCGGCAAUGGACGCAAGUCUGACCGAGCAACGCCGCGUGAGUGAAGAAGGUUUUCGGAUCGUAAAACUCUGUUGUAAGAGAAGAACGUUGAUGAGAGUGGAAAGUUCAUCAAGUGACGGUAUCUUACCAGAAAGCCACGGCUAACUACGUGCCAGCAGCCGCGGUAAUACGUAGGUGGCAAGCGUUGUCCGGAUUUAUUGGGCGUAAAGCGAGCGCAGGCGGUUGAUUAAGUCUGAUGUGAAAGCCCCCGGCUCAACCGGGGAGGGUCAUUGGAAACUGGUCAACUUGAGUGCAGAAGAGGAGAGUGGAAUUCCAUGUGUAGCGGUGAAAUGCGUAGAUAUAUGGAGGAACACCAGUGGCGAAGGCGGCUCUCUGGUCUGUAACUGACGCUGAGGCUCGAAAGCGUGGGGAGCGAACAGGAUUAGAUACCCUGGUAGUCCACGCCGUAAACGAUGAGUGCUAAGUGUUGGAGGGUUUCCGCCCUUCAGUGCUGCAGCUAACGCAUUAAGCACUCCGCCUGGGGAGUACGAC
rnacentral:rRNA from 1 species